rnacentral:pre_miRNA from 1 species
CAUGUACUCCCUCCGUUCGGAAUUACUUGUCUCGGAAAUGAAUGUAUCUAGAACUAGUUCUAGAUACAUUCAUUUCCGAGACAAGUAAUUCCGAACGGAGGGAGUAAUAA